CGAAAGCCUGACGGAGCAACGCCGCGUGAGGGAUGAAGGCCUCUGGGCUGUAAACCUCUUUUCUCAAGGAAGAAGAUCUGACGGUACUUGAUGAAUAAGCCGCGGCUAAUUCCGUGCCAGCAGCCGCGGUAAUACGGGAGUGGCAAGCGUUAUUCGGAAUUAUUGGGCGUAAAGCGUCCGCAGGCGGACUUGUAAGUCUGUCGUCAAAGCGUGGAGCUUAACUCCAUUUAAGCGAUGGAAACUGCAAGGCUAGAGUGUGGUAGGGGCAGAGGGAAUUCCCGGUGUAGCGGUGAAAUGCGUAGAUAUCGGGAAGAACACCAGUGGCGAAGGCGCUCUGCUGGGCCAUAACUGACGCUCAUGGACGAAAGCCAGGGGAGCG
rnacentral:rRNA from 1 species